AAGCCAGCAGCAAGGACAAGCUUUGGAGGGAGCUGGGAGUGCUGAGCUCUGCCUGGUCCAGCCUUGCCUGGACCUCCUGGAGCUGCCUGACACCUCCCAUCCACAGUAGGCAUCCCCCAAAGCCCCUUUUCUGUCCUUCCAGCAGGUUCCUGACCAUAGCACGUUCCCAGACUGAGUCCCCAGUGCUCUCCUGGACCCAGGCCUGGUUCCCAUGGAUGUCUGCAGUCUCCAGAGCUGCCCUGACUUGCUUGCAAAAGGUCUUUGUGCUCCUGCCUGUGCUGGAGGCAAUGCCUGGUGUGGGUACCAGUGGGACAGGUCACGUUUCCGGUGUCAUGUGCUGUCCAUGACGGAUGGCAGAGCCAGUUUUUCUGCUCCAAAAGUGGGACUGGGGAGGAGACCGCAACACUCAAAUAGCCGGAGCCCCGGCUGCUGCCAGCCAGGCAUCCAGGAGGUCACUUCUUUUUCAGCUCCAGGGUUUGGGAGGGAAGAUAAGGAGAAGGAGGAGGACAAGAAAGAGAAGGAAGAAAAGGAGAAGGAAAAGACUGAGGAAGAAAAACAGAAGGAGAAGGAGAAGCAGAAGAGAAGGAAGAAAGAAGAAGAAAAGCAGGGAGAUGGGGAAGAGGACAGGAGCAGCAGCAGCUCUGACAGUGACUCGGAGGAGGACCAAGGCAUUGCCAAGGAUGAUGAGAAGGAAGACAAGGAUUAGUCUUGCUGUGCUGGAGCAGCAGUGCACGCCCUGGGCAUGCUGAGGAGGUGGAAAUGGCAGCUUGGGCUGGAGAGCAACUGGGCCACUGUUAGCCAAAUAAAGAUGUUGUGAUCUUCA
rnacentral:lncRNA from 1 species